GAGUGGGAUGGAGUGCGGCCGGCGACCGACCCCGGCCCGUCUCGGGCCCGCCGCCCGCCCGCCUGAGUCUCCGCGGGCCUGGCCGGGGCGGCGGCCGGAGCCCCGAGUGCCGGCUCCCCUCCCCCGCGGGUGCCAGCUGCUGGCUCAGUGCCCCCCGACCCCUGUGCCAUGGUCGGCUGGGGUUCCUGGGGAUGGGAUUUGCUGCCUGUCACAAAUCACAUUGCCAGGGAUUUCCAACUGACCCUGAGCCCUGCCUCUGGGGCCACCGCUGUCACUGUCACUGUCACUGCUGAGGACACUGACCCGGGGGAAGAGGAUGGGGUGGCAGAGAGGCCCCUCUCGCCUGCACCUGGCCUGGGGAGCAGGGCUUAGCUGCUUGUGAGCAGGUCCACAGCAAGUCGUGUUCACAGUGGCUAAGUUCCGCCCCCCGGAGCCCUGCCUCCUCCGGCCCUGCCACCUCUCCCCUCCUGCCUGCCUAUCCCACCACUGGGGGGGGGGGCUCCCUGGGCUCUGCCUCCCGUGCCUACUGAGCUGAAACACAGUUGAUUUGUGCAGACUGGCUCAGUUCAGCAGGAACAGGAGUCAAGCCCCCUUGGAGUCUGCUGCCCCCGCCUUCCUUGGGUUGGCCAAUCACUGCCUGGGGGAAGAGAUGAGGACCUGGCCCCAGAGGAGGAACUUGGGGAUGGGUGGGGCCUGGGAUGGGGUGGGUAGAACCAGCUGUCUGCUGCAGGCUUGGUCCUCCUCCAAUUCUGAACUUGCUGACCCCCACACAGUCCCACCUCAGGCUGGACUAUGUUCCUAGGGAGGAUGGGCAGGUGGGUGGAUGGGUGGGUGCUCCUUCCAUGAAAAAAGGAAGCUGGCUGUGUCUUGUCUGGCUGACCCUUGGCCCCUCCUCUCCCAAGCCUGGUGGGGGCAUUGCUUGCCUGCACUUUCCCAGAAGCCAGUUACCCAAGAGGAAGCUGCCUUGGGCCCCCAGACCGUUAAAUGUCAUCUCUGGGCUUCCGGAACCAGGCUGGCCUGACCUGAAUGUGACUGGCCCCUUCUCCUUGGGCCCUGAAGCUUCCUAACUUGGGGGGAGGAGCCAUGACACCCUCUUGGCACUUGGGGCAGGGAGCAAGGUCCUUGUGAGCCUAGAAAGGACUCAAGCAGGCCUUGGUGGUCCCAAGGCAUGGAAGAAUUGACUAUCAUCAGAUGGAAUGGGGCUCUUUUGGGAGGUGAGACGGGGAGGUAAGGUGAAGCCCCCUAGGCUGUCAGUGUUGAUUCAGUGUACCCCUUCCCCACCACGGAUAGCAAUCUGGGGCAGAGUGUAUGCUGUGUUGAGCCUGUUGUCCGAUUAAAUAAAAGCUGCCCCCUGCCUCAUUCCUAAA